GAUGAACGCUAGCGACAGGCCUAACACAUGCAAGUCGAGGGGCAGCACAUGCGUAGCAAUACAAUGGUGGCGACCGGCGCACGGGUGAGUAACACGUAUGCAACCUACCUGUAAGCGAGGAAUAACCCGGAGAAAUUCGGACUAACACCGCAUAAUAUCUCGAAGCUGCAUGGCUUGGAGGUUAAAUAUUUAUAGCUUACAGAUGGGCAUGCGUAACAUUAGAUAGUUGGUGAGGUAACGGCUCACCAAGUCAACGAUGUUUAGGGGUUCUGAGAGGAAGGUCCCCCACACUGGUACUGGGACACGGACAAGACUCCUACGGGAGGCAGCAGUGAGGAAUAUUGGUCAAUGGGCGAGAGCCUGAACCAGCCAAGUCGCGUGAAGGAAGAAGGUUCUAUGGAUUGUAAACUUCUUUUGUAAGGGAAUAAAAAAGCUUACGUGUAGGAUAUUGUAUGUACUUUACGAAUAAGGAUCGGCUAACUCCGUGCCAGCAGCCGCAGUAAUAC
rnacentral:rRNA from 1 species